rnacentral:rRNA from 1 species
UUUGCUGACGAGUGGCGGACGGGUGAGUAAUGUCUGGGAAACUGCCUGAUGGAGGGGGAUAACUACUGGAAACGGUAGCUAAUACCGCAUAACGUCGCAAGACCAAAGAGGGGGACCUUCGGGCCUCUUGCCAUCGGAUGUGCCCAGAUGGGAUUAGCUUGUUGGUGGGGUAACGGCUCACCAAGGCGACGAUCCCUAGCUGGUCUGAGAGGAUGACCAGCCACACUGGAACUGAGACACGGUCCAGACUCCUACGGGAGGCAGCAGUGGGGAAUAUUGCACAAUGGGCGCAAGCCUGAUGCAGCCAUGCCGCGUGUAUGAAGAAGGCCUUCGGGUUGUAAAGUACUUUCAGCGGGGAGGAAGGGAGUAAAGUUAAUACCUUUGCUCAUUGACGUUACCCGCAGAAGAAGCACCGGCUAACUCCGUGCCAGCAGCCGCGGUAAUACGGAGGGUGCAAGCGUUAAUCGGAAUUACUGGGCGUAAAGCGCACGCAGGCGGUUUGUUAAGUCAGAUGUGAAAUCCCCCGG